GGCCUGUCUAAUUGUUUUGUAUUUUUAGUAGAGACGGGGUUUCACCAUGUUGGCAAGGCUGGUUUCCAACUCCUGACCUCAAGCGAUCCGCCUGCCUUGGCCUCCCAAAGAGCUAGGAUUACAAGCAGGAGCCAUUGCGCCCGGCCAGGAUUUAUCAAAUUUUGUAUAAAACUGUAUUUUAGGGUCUUACGUCUAUUCUACAAACAAUAUCUAUACUGUAUUUUCUUCAAAUCCUUAAUCAGAUAUUAUAUUGAAGAGGGACAUCCAGAAAGGCUGAGUGCAGGGAAGAAUACUGGGGUGCAUAAGCUACCACCUACCCUGCCAUUUAAGCUCCUCCUAGAAUCGUGCAUGGCCUACUGGUCAUGAGCAUGGAUGUACCCACACAAGAGGCUAUGGGUUUCUAAGCAUCUUUGUAUUCCAGAGGUGACCACAUCCCUCCUUGAGGCCGGGAAAAUCUGCCUCUGAGCCAAAUAAGGUGUGUGUGUGUGUGUGUGUUGUUUUUUUGUUUUUUGGGAACAGGGUCCCUCUCUGUCACCCAGGCUGGAGUACAGUGACCCAAUCACAGGCUCACUGCAGCCUUGACCUUCUGGACCCAAGCAAUUCUCCUACCUCUGACUUCUGUGUUGGUGGGACUACAGAGUGCACCAGGAAGCCUGGCUAAUUUUUGUACUUUUUUUUUUUUUUUGUAGAGACGGGGUCUCACCAUGUGGCCCAGACUGGUCUUGAACUCUUGGGCUCAAGCAAUCCAUCCACUUCGGCUUCCCAAAGUGCUGGGAUUACAGGUAUAAGCUACAGCACCCAGCCUCCAAAUAAGCUUUGAUCUUAAGAUUUCUCCCAGGAAAGAAUUAAAUUAUCCAGGCUCAAAAAGUGCUGAAAAGAUGCUAAACAGCAUCUGCUUGGCAGUGGACUGGAAGCCAAGGGAAGGGGGAAGAGCAGCAAGGACUUAGGGAGGAUGCAGGGUGAUGAAGAUCUCACAGAAGCAGCAGGUUUAGGGGGAAAUGGGAUGAACUCCUUUUUGGAUAUGUUGGGUUUGACAUUCUGGCAAGAGAGCUUAAUAGGGCAGCUCAGCAAGCUUGGCUCUAUGAGUUUGUUAGGCCUGAAGACGGAGCAGAGACCACAGGGGUACAUGAGAUUUCCCUAAGGAAUGGGUGUGGGCCCCACAUCUACACCGUGGAGUAAGAAGAGAAUAGGACUGUGACCAUCAAUGUCCCAAACAGAGACUUUUCCAACAGACUGGGUCCUGGAGUGAAAAAAGUGAUGUGUAGUACUGUAGCAGGCCCACGAUGGACACGUAACAUGAGCAAGAAAUGAACUGUUGUCGUUGUAAGCCACUGAGAUGGGAGGGCAGUCAUUUUUCACACAGCAUAACCUAACCUAUACUGACUGAUACAAGGUCAAGGACAGAUCCUUGGUGAUCACUUAGGGCACAGAAAGAGGAAGAGAAGAUGUAGAAGAUGAUCCUCAGAGAAGAGGAUGAGAACAGGAAUGCAAGUGACAGAAAUACUAAAGCGUUUUCUUCAUUUAAUCCAGCAUUAACUGAUGAUCAGUGUCAUUGUUCUAAGCACAAUCCCUAAGUAGGGCAAUUGAGGAACAUCUUUCAAUAUUUCAAAUUUCAUGUAUGCCCCCAUCUGAGCACUUCCAUGAUUCUAUAGAUAUAUUUACAUAUGUGCUGUGAUGGUUAAUACUGAGUGUCAACUUGAUUGGAUUCAAGGAUGCCAAGUAUUGUUCCUGGGUGUGUCCAUCAGGGUGUUGUCAAAGGAGAUUAACAUUUGAUUCAGUGGACUAAGAGAGGCAGAUCCACCCUCAAUCUGGAUGGGCACCAUCUAAUUAGCUGCCAGUACAGCUAGGAUAAAAGCAGGCAGAGGAACACAGGAGGACUAGACUGGCUGAGUCUUCCAGCUUUCAUCUUUCUGCUGUGCUGGAUGUUUCCUGCCCUCGAACAACGGACUCCAAGUUCUUCAGCUUUUGGACUCUUGGACCUACACCAGUGGUUUGCCAGGGGUUUUUGGGCCUCUGGCCACAGACUGAAGGCUGUACUGUCGGCUUCCCUGUUUUUGAGGUUUUAGGACUUGGGCUGGUUUCCUUGUUCCUCAGUUUGCAGAUGGCCUAUUGUGGGACUUCACCUUGUGAUCCUGUGAGUCAAUACUCCUUAAUAAACUCCCUUUCAUAUACACAUCUAUCCUAUUAGUCCUGUCUCUCUAGAGAACCCUGACGAAUACAUAUGCAAAAUGAUGUAUGUACAAGACUAUGUAAUACAUCCUUAUUUUUGAUAGCAAAAGAUUGAACCAACUCAAAUAUCCAUUAAUGGAAGCCUGGUUAAAUCCAUCGGAGUAUAGCCACACACUGUAAUACCAUGAAACUCAAAGAAGUAACUCUAUGCACCAACAGGAGAAGUCACUACAUAUCUUAGUGACAUAUAUAAAGUUUAAAAAAGCAAAGUGAGACUUGAUUUUACUGUGAUAAUAUUAACAAAUAUUGGCUGGGCGCGGUGGCUCACGCCUGUAAUCCCAGCACUUUGGGAGGCCGAGGUGGGCGGAUCA
rnacentral:lncRNA from 10 species